rnacentral:rRNA from 1 species
GACGAACGCUGGCGGCGUGCCUAAUACAUGCAAGUAGAACGCACAGUUUAUACCGUAGCUUGCUACACCAUAGACUGUGAGUUGCGAACGGGUGAGUAACGCGUAGGUAACCUGCCUGGUAGCGGGGGAUAACUAGUGGAAACGAUAGCUAAUAGCGCAUAAUAUUUAUUAUUGCAUGAUAAUUAAUGGAAAGGUGCAAUUGCACCACUACCAGAUAGACCUGCGUUGUAUUAGCUAGUAGGUGAGGUAACGGCUCACCUAGGCGACGAUACAUAGCCGACCUGAGUGGGUGAUCGGCCACACUGGGACUGAGACACGGCCCAGACUCCUACGGGAGGCAGCAGUAGGGAAUCUUCGGCAAUGGACGAAAGACUUACCGAGCAACGCCGCGUGCGUGAAGAAGGUUUUCGGAUCGUAAAGCUCUGUUGUAAGAGAAGAACGGGUGUGAGAGUGGAAAGUUCACAGUGUGACGGUAUCUUACAAGAAAGCGACGGCUAACUACGUG